CAGGCCUAACACAUGCAAGUCGAACGCCCCGCAAGGGGAGUGGCAGACGGGUGAGGAACACGUGGGAACGUACCCUUUGGUUCGGAACAACCCUGGGAAACUAGGGCUAAUACCGGAUACGAGCGAGAGCUGAAAGGUUUACCGCCGAAGGAUCGGCCCGCGUCUGAUUAGCUAGUUGGUGAGGUAAUGGCCUACCAAGGCGACGAUCCAUAGCUGGUCUGAGAGGAUGAUCAGCCACACUGGGACUGAGACACGGCCCAGACUCCUACGGGAGGCAGCAGUGGGGAAUAUUGGACAAUGGGCGAAAGCCUGAUCCAGCCAUGCCGCGUGAGUGAUGAAGGCCCUAGGGUUGUAAAGCUCUUUCACCGGUGAAGAUAAUGACGGUAACCGGAGAAGAAGCCCCGGCUAACUUCGUGCCAGCAGCCGCGGUAAU
rnacentral:rRNA from 1 species